UACGUAGGGUGCGAGCGUUAAUCGGAUUUACUGGGCGUAAAGCGUGCGCAGGCGGCUCGUUAAGUCAGGGGUGAAAUCCCUGGGCUCAACCUAGGAAUUGCCCUUGUGACUGGAGAGCUCGAGUACGGUAGAGGGGGGUGGAAUUCCUAGUGUAGCAGUGAAAUGCGUAGAUAUCAGGAGGAACACCGAUGGCGAAGGCAGCUCACUGGGCCUGUACUGACGCUCAUGCACGAAAGCGUGGGGAGCAAACAGG
rnacentral:rRNA from 1 species